rnacentral:rRNA from 1 species
UAUUAUUGAAUAUGUAAAUUUUAAGUAUCUGAGUAGUAGUAGUUAUAUUCUUGAAACUCAAAGAAUUUGGCGGUAUUUUAGUCCUUUCAGAGGAAUCUGUCCCGUAAUUGAUAUUACACGAUUUUCAUUACUUAAUUUAGUUAUCAGUUUAUAUACCGCCGUCGUUAAGAUUAUCUUAUGGAGAGUAGAAAUUUUCGUUAUUUUUUAUUGAAUGACAUGUCAGGUCAAGGUGUAGCUUAUGAUUAAGUGGAGAUGGAUUACAAUAAAAUUAUUUAUAUGGACGAUUUAAUUAAUUUGUAUUUGAAGGUGGAUUUGAUUGUAAAUUGGUUGAAAUUGAUUUUUUGAUUUUGGCUCUAAAAUGUGCACACAUCGCCCGUCGCUCUCGUUUCAAGAUGAG